CUUCAGGGUUGACCUGGGCAGCCAUAGUUAAGGGAGACCGGCUGGAGACCAAAGCCAGAGGCGAGCAGUGGGCAGUGUCGGUGUUCGAGUCUGCCCACAGAGGAGACUUUAAUCACAAAACGGGAAUUGUGCACUCUGAAAUUGUUCUGAAGCUGUUCCAGGAACCAAGGAUAAAUACUUGGGUCUCAGCCCAUUCCAUUGUUUCCAGCUGGAACGCCUUCUCUGGUGGACUCAAACCAAAUGUCUUGGUUCUUGGCCACUGUCACCAGGAGUCUCUGUCUCUACAAACUCUUGCUUUGAAAUCUCUCACUCCCUCUGGAGAAUCAGCAGCUGAACCCUUCAGAAACAUCACCGUUCCCAGUGGAUCAGCCUCUCAUCUUUCUGCUGAAGUCUAGAGCCAUCACCCUGGAAGAGUUGUGACUUUCCUGAGGGGCUUCCACGUACUAAGACAUUGUCCCACUAUGUGACUUUCUCUUUCUUUUUUUCAUUUUUAUUUAUGUAUGUGUGUUGGCACAUGUGUGUCACGAUGAGCAUGUGGAGAUCAAAGGACAACAUGUGGGAGUCAGUUCUGUCCUUCCACCAUGUGGUCUUCAGGCUUGUCAGGAAGCACCUUUAAUCCACUGUACUAUCUUGACAGCUUUUUUCCUUCCCUUCUUCCUUCCUUUCCUCCUUCUUUUUCUCUCUCUCUCUUUCUUUUUCUUUUUUUUUUUGGGGGGGGGGACAAGGUCUCUUAUGUAGUCUAGACUAGCCUCAAACUCAAUAUGUAGUUGAGGAUGAACCUGAACUCCUCAUCCUCCGCCCUCAGCCUCCCAAAUAUUGGAACUACAAACUUGAGGCACUACUCUCCGCUCACCAUGUGAAUUUAUUUUAUUUUAUUGAUUGAUUUAUUUACUUUUUAUUUAUUUUGGUCUUUUUGAGACAGGGUCUCCCUGUAGCCCCAGCUGUCCUGGAACUCACUAU